CUGCCUGGUAGUGGGGGACGAACGUUUCGAAAGGAACGCUAAUACCGCAUACGUCCUACGGGAGAAAGCAGGGACCUUCGGGCCUUGCGCUAUCAGAUGAGCCUAGGUCGGAUUAGCUAGUUGGUGAGGUAAUGGCUCACCAAGGCGACGAUCCGUAACUGGUCUGAGAGGAUGAUCAGUCACACUGGAACUGAGACACGGUCCAGACUCCUACGGGAGGCAGCAGUG
rnacentral:rRNA from 1 species